GUGGGGAAUAUUGCGCAAUGGGCGAAAGCCUGACGCAGCGACGCCGCGUGGGGGAUGACGGCCUUCGGGUUGUAAACCUCUUUCAGCAGGGACGAAGCGAAAGUGACGGUACCUGCAGAAGAAGCACCGGCCAACUACGUGCCAGCAGCCGCGGUAAUACGUAGGGUGCAAGCGUUGUCCGGAAUUAUUGGGCGUAAAGAGCUCGUAGGCGGUUUGUUGCGUCGGCUGUGAAAACCUGAGGCUCAACCUCAGGCCUGCAGUCGAUACGAGCAGACUAGAGUGUUGCAGGGGAGACUGGAAUUCCUGGUGUAGCGGUGAAAUGCGCAGAUAUCAGGAGGAACACCGGUGGCGAAGGCGGGUCUCUGGGCAACAACUGACGCUGAGGAGCGAAAGCGUGGGGAGCGAACAGGAUUAGAAACCCUAGUAGUCC
rnacentral:rRNA from 1 species